GAUGAACGCUAGCGGCAGGCCUAACACAUGCAAGUCGAGGGGUAGAACACUUCGGUGUUUGAGACCGGCGCACGGGUGCGUAACGCGUAUGCAAUCUGCCUUACACUAAGGGAUAGCCCAGAGAAAUUUGGAUUAAUACCUUAUAGUAUAUUGAUGUAGCAUUACAUUAUUAUUAAAGAUUUAUCGGUGUAAGAUGAGCAUGCGUCCCAUUAGCUAGUUGGUAUGGUAACGGCAUACCAAGGCUAUGAUGGGUAGGGGUCCUGAGAGGGAGAUCACCCACACUGGUACUGAGACACGGACCAGACGCCUACGGGAGGCAGCAGUGAGGAAUAUUGGUCAAUGGGCGCAAGCCUGAACCAGCCAUGCCGCGUGCAGGAUGAAGCAUCUAUGGUGUGUAAACUGCUUUUGUACGGGAAGAAACACCUCUUCGUGAAGAGGCUUGACGGUACCGUAAGAAUAAGGAUCGGCCAACUCCGUGCCAGCAGCCGCAGUAACAC
rnacentral:rRNA from 1 species